CCCGUUGUCAUUGGGGAGUAGCCAUCCUUGCCCCCCAGGGAGUUUGCGUCAACAGACUUGGCGGUCCACGGACCCCAUGGCGCAAACGGUAUUCGCCGCAAAGACCGCGCUCAGUUGCGCGCGACGCUCAUGCGGCGGACAGCCAGGCGAGACCUUUGGCCGCGACGUGCUAAC
rnacentral:ncRNA from 2 species